rnacentral:lncRNA from 1 species
UCUCUGAUCGAUCGGAACUCCGGCACCGUCCAACUCCAAAGACAACAAAGACCCAUCACCGCAGCAUCGCUUAGAGCCUCAGACAGCAUCCCUCCCACGGUUUUGGGUCUGAUUUUUUUCACCCCAUUGAUUCUGAUUUCGAGCUCGAUUUGGGUCCCGGUCGGAACCGUGCUUUUCAAUUUUCAUUGUUGUCUCCGAUUUUUUAUCAGUUUGUUGAUUCCGAUUUGGAGUCGGUACUAUUGUUGCUGUGUCUUGGAGUCGGUUUGUUGAUUCUGAUUCAGAUUGUUUCGCAUUGAUUGCUUGUUCUAGAGGGAAAUCUAGGAUUUCGUUCAAUAUGAUAAGAAUGCUGCAAUUCUUGAAUUGGGUUUGUUUUUAAUUGUAUUGUGUUUGAUUUCUGUGAAAAUUAUUGCAUUUGUUGUUUGAUUUGAGUUUUGGGUUUAUGUGAUUUUUAUUUUGGGUUUUUGUAGGUCUAAAUUUGGGAAUUUUCUGUUUUAAUUGAUUUUGGUUUUGGUUUUUAUUUAAAAAGCUAGGAUUUAAAGAUUUUUUGAUUUUUAGUUUUCUGUGUUGUGUGGAGACUAGAGAUGGAAUUCUGAAUUUGUUGGUGAGCUAUGUAAUUGUAUUGUAGACAUGUAUAUUGAGGAAUUGAAGGAGGGAGAAGAGGGUGUGGAGAAGCAGCUAUUUGCUGCUGAUCUUUGUCGCAGCUCUGUUGUUUUUUAUACUAAAAGGGUUUUGGUCGGAGGAGGGGCUCGCAGCUCUGCUCUUUGGCUCGUGCUGAUUCGGUUUUUACCCGAAUUACCGAAAUUACAAUUCGGUAAUUCGGUAUUCGGUAUUCAGUUAUUUUUAAAUUUCGGUUAUUAUUUUGGAUAGUAAAAUUGUUACUUAUUCGAUUUUCGGUUAUAACCGAAUAGCUUAUUCGGUUCGGUUAUAACCGAAUGAUCACCCCUAUUAGAGAGUAUUUGACAAAAUUUUCACAUCUCACAAAAUCUUUUGCAUGUAAACAC